rnacentral:tRNA from 1 species
AUCCCUGGGUGGUGCAGUCAACGCACUUGGCUGUGAACCAAAAGGUUGGAAGUUCAAGUCUACCCAGAGAUG